UCUUGACCAGACCACCACCCAGAGAUAUUCUCUUUAGAUUGCCCCCUAAUAUUUUUAGUUCUGCCUAGAUCCCCUUCUCUAAUCUAAUUCUGAAAUGCAAAUUAAAGAUUGAUUAAUAAAAUAAAAAUGAAAUCGAUUUGGGCGUAAAUAAAAAUCAGAGUUUGGUCUGAGAGGAAGAAGAACAGAGAGAGAGAAAGAGUAUCCCAGAAGAGAGGGAGAAUCGACAGCAGAGAGGGAGACGAGAGAGAGAAUGAUGCAGAACAUAAAGAGAGACGAGAGGGAUGUGAUGGAGAGAGGCGAAAAAGUUCUUGGAGGAGGAGCUCCAACUUCCUCCAGAGACAGAGAGAGGCGAGAAAGCUCCAUGUAUUGAUUCUCAUGGUCUUGUACUGAAAAUAGUUACAUACGAGAUGCUUUUGUAUUUUAGACUUUAGGACUCAUGUAAGCAGUCCUUUAUGCUUGCUUGGAUUUUGUGUUGUAUACUUAUGCAAUGUACGGGAUGCUUUUGCAAUUUCAUUUUUGUGAUCCAAACUCAAACCCAUAAACAUAUACCAAACUAAUACUCAUGUUCAGGUUAAACACUCAAAACCAAACCACAUAUUGCAAAUACAACUAAGUCUUACAGUCUAAAACUAAUACUCAACACUCAAACACAAGUCGAGUGAAACACAACUACUGAUUCUUCAAUCUCAAACAAAU
rnacentral:lncRNA from 1 species